UCGACGGCAGCACGGGAGCAAUCCUGGUGGCGAGUGGCGAACGGGUGAGUAAUGUAUCGGAACGUACCUUUCAGUGGGGGAUAACGUAGCGAAAGUUACGCUAAUACCGCAUAUUCUGUGAGCAGGAAAGCAGGGGAUCGCAAGACCUUGCGCUGAUUGAGCGGCCGAUAUCUGAUUAGCUAGUUGGCGGGGUAAAAGCCCACCAAGGCAACGAUCAGUAGCUGGUCUGAGAGGACGACCAGCCACACUGGAACUGAGACACGGUCCAGACUCCUACGGGAGGCAGCAGUGGGGAAUUUUGGACAAUGGGCGCAAGCCUGAUCCAGCAAUGCCGCGUGAGUGAAGAAGGCCUUCGGGUUGUAAAGCUCUUUUGUCAGGGAAGAAACGGCAGUUUCUAAUACAGAUUGCUAAUGACGGUACCUGAAGAAUAAGCACCGGCUAACUACGUGCCAGCAGCCGCGGUAAUACGUAGGGUGCAAGCGUUAAUCGGAAUUACUGGGCGUAAAGCGUGCGCAGGCGGUUUUGUAAGUUUGCCGUGAAAUCCCCGGGCUCAACCUGGGAAUGGCGAUGAAGACUGCAAGGCUAGAAUCUGGCAGAGGGGGGUAGAAUUCCACGUGUAGCAGUGAAAUGCGUAGAGAUGUGGAGGAACACCGAUGGCGAAGGCAGCCCCCUGGGUCAAGAUUGACGCUCAUGCACGAAAGCGUGGGGAGCAAACAGGAUUAGAUACCCUGGUAGUCCACGCCCUAAACGAUGUCUACUAGUUGUCGGGUUUUAAUUAACUUGGUAACGCAGCUAACGCGUGAAGUAGACCGCCUGGGGAGUACGGUC
rnacentral:rRNA from 1 species